AUAUGUGAAUGUGGGCGUCGGGGAGUCAGGCUUCAGUUGGAGUGACACAAGGACAGCAUUGAGAUGGGGCAUCUGAACUGAGAGACCUGAAGGACAAGAGAGCUAGACCUACACUACAAAGAUCUGGGAGAACUCUAUUCCCAGAAGAGGGGAUGGCCAUCACAAAGGCCCCGAGCCAGGAAAGAGCUGGGAGUGUGUGAGAACAGCGAGAAGAGAUGGCUGGGGCCGAAAGAGUCAAAGGGAAGUUGGAGGACAAUGUGAGGUUGAGGAGGCUGCAGAGGUCACGUGACGGAGGGCUGCAGCAGCCACAGGAAGGAGCUCGGGAGUUUACUGACAUACAGGAGACAGAAGAACAUAACGAAGGACACCAAGUGCAACCAGCCAAAUCAGACAGGUACCUUUGUGAGAGGUACCAACAAAAUGCAAUGCAUAGAUCCUGUUUGGAUUCUGAUCUGAACCAGUCAACAGUUAAGACAUUUAUAAGACAAUCAGGGAAAUCUGGAGACAGGUGGAAGCAGAUAAUUUGGAGCCCCAGGAAAUGAUGGAGGCACAAGAUUAACCAGUCUGCUGUGUGAGUCACCAGAUGGAGGACAGAUGCCAACCAAGCAGGACACCUGUGGCAAGAAAUCAACUAUUGUAUGAAGUCACUGAAAUCAAGGGAGUUCUUUGUUACAGUUGCUGACAUUACACUUACUGAUACUCCGACCCUUCCUCUCUGGGCCCCUGAUAUCAAUAAACCUUGAGCACCCCCUGUCAUUCUGUGAAAUGAAACUCUAAUUGUGGUGUUCCGGCUUUCACAUAGCGUUUUCAUACAGUGGCCCACUGGCUAUAUGUUUACUAAUUAAAACUCAUCGGUAUAUUCCACUCCAUUCUCUGCCCAAAUGUAAACUUGUCCCCCUGUUCUUAUGGAAGUCUUCUUCCACGUUGACAGGUGGAAGUCAUUAAAGCAGACCCUGAGCCUCACGUUAGGUCUUCCACCAUAGCUAAGCAGAACCUCAUACACAGGAUCUUGUGGUUGCCCUGUAGAAGUCAGUGCUUGCCUGGAACCCAUCAGUCUGAUUUACGGUGGUG